rnacentral:lncRNA from 1 species
UUUGGAUUAAGAAAAAUAAUUGAACUUGAAGGCCUUACUUUACCAUCUUUGUUUAGUGAUAAAGCAUGGAAACUAAGUGGUGGUGACUGUAACUAUAUAUUGUCAACCAGUUUAUCAGGCUUUACCUAUUCUUAUGGAGGGAUGGGUCCUAUGGUAUUUGAUGGAUAUGGAGUUUUUUACACCAUUUCUGAUGAGAGCAUCAAUAUUGUCAUUAGCACAUGGAAAGAUUCAGUGCAAAGCAGAUGUGAAGAUUUACAUAAUGCAAUUCAAUUAUCGUGUCAAGAUAUUAAAGCCUUACUCUCCGAUGUUUCAAAGUUGUAGGGCGAUUUUAUUUUUUUGCUGUUUGGUAAAACAAGACUUUUAU